UCUUCUGUCCACAAUCCUACAUAUCUUCAUGAUGUCCCAAUCUGGGAAAGAGCCAAGAACCUGGACAGUGGUUAUUUUAGUCUGCCCAGGGUCUCUUCUUUAGAGAAACCUCUUCCUCCACACCAUAUUGUUUUUGAAGCUGUCAGUAAGAAUGUGCAGCCUGCCAUGGGGAUGGUGUCAUGACCCAAACACAGCCAGCCACAGGACUGUCCAUUUGACAAUGUGCUUCAUCCAAGGGGUGGGCACAUGACAUAGGCAUGGCCAACCAGAACCUUCCCCUGGGUUGGAUCUGUGAACCAGGAGGAUAGGUUCUCUUCAGGGUAGGCUGCCAAGGCUGAGAGGAUGGCUUUUAGGGCUUGCACCAGCUAUCUUAUCGGCCACAUGGAAAAACUAAAAUAGCAGAAUAAGCUGAGAGUCUGGGGUGUGUGUGUGUGUGUAGAGCGAGAGGGUGAGAGAGAAUCUUAUAGCACUGAGUUCUGCAUUAGUUUGUUAGCGCUGCCACAACCCUGGUAAUUUAAACAACAGAAAUUCAUUUUCUCACGGUUCUGGAGCCCAGAAGCCUGAAAUCAAGGUGUCAUCAGGGCAGCACUCCCUCAGGAUGAACUGGCCAGCACUGCAGCUAGUUUACCACCCUGACAGCAUAGACUGGAGCUUCCAGGAGCCACACUGUGGAAUCCAAGGAUGAAAUAAGACUACUGAAGGGCUGUUGGCCCCACAGGGUCGUGGGGUGUCCCUUAUGC